CGCGUAGGCGGGAUGGCAAGUCGGUCGUGAAAUCCUUCGGCUCAACCGAAGAACGUCGAUCGAUACUGCUGUUCUUGAGGGUUGCAGAGGAGACUGGAAUUCCCGGUGUAGCGGUGAAAUGUGUAGAGAUCGGGAGGAACACCGGUGGCGAAGGCGGGUCUCUGGGCAACUCCUGACGCUGAGGCGCGAAAGCGUGGGGAGCAAACGGGAUUAGAUACCCCGGUAGUCCACGCUGUAAACGAUGACGACUAGGUGUGGGGGGUUCGAGUCCUUCCGUGCCGCAGCUAACGCAUUAAGUCGUCCGCCUGGGAGGUACGGCCGCAAGGUUGAA
rnacentral:rRNA from 1 species